GACGAACGCUGGCGGCGUGCUUAACACAUGCAAGUCGAACGGAGUGGCGAACGGGUGAGUAACACGUGGGUGAUCUGCCUUGCACUUCGGGAUAAGCUUGGGAAACUUGGUCUAAUACCCGAUAGUGCAAGAUGAGCUCGCGGCCUAUCAGCUUGUUGGUGGGGUAAUGGCCUACCAAGGCGGCGACGGGUAGCCGGCCUGAGAGGGUGUACGGCCACAUUGGGACUGCGGUACGGCGCAGACGGCUACGGGAGGCAGCAGUGGGGAAUAUUGCACAAUGGGCGGAAGCCUGAUGAAGAGGCGUCGGGUGGGGGAAGAAGGUCUUCGGGUGGUAAACGCCUUUCGACAGGGACGCGGUACCUGUAUAAGAAGCACCGGCUAACUACGUGCCAGCAGCCGCGGUAAUAC
rnacentral:rRNA from 1 species